rnacentral:rRNA from 1 species
UAGGGAAUCUUCGGCAAUGGACGAAAGUCUGACCGAGCAACGCCGCGUGAGUGAAGAAGGUUUUCGGAUCGUAAAACUCUGUUGUUAGAGAAGAACAAGGACGUUAGUAACUGAACGUCCCCUGACGGUAUCUAACCAGAAAGCCACGGCUAACUACGUGCCAGCAGCCGCGGUAAUACGUAGGUGGCAAGCGUUGUCCGGAUUUAUUGGGCGUAAAGCGAGCGCAGGCGGUUUCUUAAGUCUGAUGUGAAAGCCCCCGGCUCAACCGGGGAGGGUCAUUGGAAGCUGGGAGACUUGAGUGCAGAAGAGGAGGGUGGAAUUCCAUGUGUAGCGGUGACAUGCGUAGAGAUAUGGAGGAACACCAGUGGCGAAGGCGGCUCUCUGGUCUGUAACUGACGCUGAGGCUCGAAAGCGUGGGGAGCAAACAGG